UGGGGGAUAUUGCGCAAUGGGGGAAACCCUGACGCAGCAACGCCGCGUGAAGGAAGAAGGCUUUCGGGUUGUAAACUUCUGUUCUUAGGGAAGAAGACAGUGACGGUACCUAAGGAGCAAGUCACGGCUAACUACGUGCCAGCAGCCGCGGUAAUACGUAGGUGACAAGCGUUGUCCGGAUUUACUGGGUGUAAAGGGCGUGUAGGCGGGAUAUCAAGUCAGUCGUGAAAUACCGAGGCUUAACUUCGGGGCUGCGAUUGAAACUGAUAUUCUUGAGUGUCGGAGAGGAAAGCGGAAUUCCUAGUGUAGCGGUGAAAUGCGUAGAUAUUAGGAGGAACACCAGUGGCGAAGGCGGCUUUCUGGACGAUAACUGACGCUGAGACGCGAAAGUGUGGGGAGCAAACAGG
rnacentral:rRNA from 1 species